rnacentral:rRNA from 1 species
GAUAAACGCUGGCGGUGUACAUAAGACAUGCAAGUCGAACGGGAGAAGACAGGAAGAUUUAUCUACUUGUUGGACACCGUGGCGGACGGGUGAGUAACACGUAAGCAACCUGCCUAUAAGAGGGGAAUAACAGUGAGAAAUUACUGAUAAUACCGCAUAAGCUGGAGGUAUCGCAUGAUACAUUCAGAAAAGAUUUAUCGCUUAUAGAUGGGCUUGCGUCUGAUUAGCUAGUUGGUGAGAUAACAGCUCACCAAGGCGACGAUCAGUAGCCGGAUUGAGAGGUUGAACGGCCACAUUGGGACUGAGACACGGCCCAGACUCCUACGGGAGGCAGCAGUCGGGAAUAUUGCACAAUGGAGGAAACUCUGAUGCAGUGACACCGCGUAUAGGAAGAAGGUCUUAGGAUUGUAAGCUAUUGUCGUGUGAGAAGAAAAUGACCAUCACAGGA